GACGAACGCUGGCGGCGUGGAUUAGGCAUGCAAGUCGGACGGUAGGGCUUUAUCGUAAGAUAGAGUUUGAGAGUGGCGAACGGGUGAGUAACACGUAGGAAUCUACCCUUAAGACGGGGACAACCCAGGGAAACUUGGGCUAAUACCGGAUGUGAGCAACUUUUAGUUGUUUGAAAGGUGGCGUAAGCUGUCGCUUGGGGAUGAGCCUGCGUCCUAUUAGUUAGUUGGUGAGGUAACGGCUCACCUAGGCAAUGAUAGGUAGGCGGCCUUAACGGGUGGUCGCCCACACUGGGAUUGAGAUACGGCCCAGACUCCUACGGGAGGCAGCAGUCGAGAAUAGUCUACAAUGGUCGGAAGACUGAUAGUGCGACGCCGCGUGAACGAUGAAUCCCUUCGGGGUGUAAAGUUCUUUUAUAUGUGAGCAGUGCUUCUUAUAUUAACAGUAUGGGGAGAGAGAUAUUAGCAUAUGAAUAAGCAACGGCUAACUCCGUGCCAGCAGCCGCGGU
rnacentral:rRNA from 1 species